UCGGACGUGGUGCACGGCGCGCACCCGCUCUCCUUGACGGCCCGGAAUUCUCACUGGACAAGCGGGAGCCCUGGGUUCGACUCCCAGCGUCCGAA